ensembl:lncRNA LINC02689 long intergenic non-protein coding RNA 2689
GGACACCACCCAGCCAGGCCCACCUGACCGGUCAGGCUCAAACCCUCUGGUACCCGCCCCACCCAUAGGACCAGGUGUAAACCAGGCAGCGACACCCCAGACGUGUGGUCUUGGUCAGCUCCCCUGGGCUCCUCUCCCUCCAGCUGGCCCUUCUCUGCCCAGGAAACAGUUUUCUGAAGAGUUCUCCGUUCUCGAGCCUUCCAGCUGCGUGGGAGAGAGUUGACCCCAAGGCUGGGACCACAAGAGGCCAGGGAGGGUGGGCCUGGGAUCUGCAGCUCACGGGCUGUGUGACUGUGGGCACGAGAUUUCAUUUCCUGAUUCAUAAAGGUGGGGACCGAUCAAAGCUACUCCUUGGACCUUUGUGAAGAUUAAAUGAGUUCAACACGGAGCAUUCUUGACCCAUGGGCCAUCCCCAGAUGAGGCUGCAGCAUUGCCCCGUGUGCUCUCAGCUGGUGCCAGUGUUGUCUGGAACUGUCUGGACCUACCUGGAAACUGAGUAUUUCUCUGAAGAAGUCUGCAGCCCUUUGGCAGCGUGGCUGCAGAUGGAAGGAAGGAAACAGUUCGCCCUGGAGAAUGGCUAGGCAGCACCUCUGAGCCGAGCAUCCCACCCGCUCUGACUGGCCCACAAUCGUGGGGCCAGUGGUAUCUCAGAGCCCUUCUGUAAGGAGACCUACAGGGUUUUGUCACUUACAGUGAUUGCCAUGGUCUGAAUGCUUGUGUCCUCCUCGAAAGAGCCUUCCAAGAUGCGGUGCCCUCCAUCAGCAUAUUGCCACGCCUUUCUCUCCCAGGAUGCAUUGCUGGGAUGGAUGAACAGGGCCAUGCGAUAAAUCCUCUAACGUUGCCACGUCUGUGCUUUUGCCUCCUUUCCUCUCCGUUGUAUGGAGGAAGUUCUGACAGCUCACUUCAUUUCACGUGGUGUGCAAGCUUCUGUCAAACAACGGAACAAACUAUGAGAACCACUUCCAGCCACUGCUUCUGCACACUUCUCUGCUAAGUGAGUCUCUGCUGUGUGAGUCUCAUUGGUAAAACUACCCUGAUCUAACAUUCUGUUACCUCCUUUGUGGUCCAACACUCCAAGAGUCCACGGCCUCAGACGCCCCUGGGUUUCUGCUGAUGUAAAUUGGCAAAAACUUGCAUUCAGUGUGUAUGUGGCUCCUCUUGGGUCUCACUGUGUGUUUAUCCCUCUGCACCCAACUCUAGUCAUGGCUCUGGGAAUAAUGAGGGUCGGUGGAGGUGGAUCUCAAGGGAGAUCUGUCAUCUUGCAAGGCUGUUUCCUCAAGUGAAGCCAUCACAGAUCUUUGGGCACAGUUUUACUCACCUCAGACUCUAAGGAAGAGUCACUUCUGCUUACAGGGAGACUCAGGAAGGUCUAAUGUUCAGGGGACUCAGAGUCAGAGAAAUCCACCCUCUCCAGUUCUCGAGGUCUCAUUCUUUCCAAAUAAAUGCCUUAACUUUGAC